CUGGUCAACGGACGAUGGGCUA
rnacentral:siRNA from 1 species